rnacentral:misc_RNA from 1 species
CAAGGAGCAACGGAAAGUCUGACGGAACCUGCACACACGCAACUUUGUUUAUUUUGAGGGGAUACCCUCAAGCACCCUAGCGGGUGCGACUUUGUUCUUUGAAAACUGGAUAUCAUUGUUGUAAAUGUUUUAAAUUGCCCGAGAACCACAAGCGUAUUUUGUAUGAGUUUUCUAAUAAUAGAAAAUUUCGCAUCGCAUAACCCGCUGACGCAAGUCAGUACAGG